GCCAGCCAGCCAGUUUUGCUUGGAUCUGGGGGCAGCCACGUGGCCAUACGUUCUGAGAUGUCGGUGCCCCGAGCCAGCCAGAGUGACUUACAGCAGAAAACAGGAUUUGAAUUACUUCGGCUCUGGGGAGGCCCCUUAGUAUAAACAGUGAGAAUUUCUGGGAAAUGUACAUAAGGCCAGACUUUCGGGAAAGC
rnacentral:lncRNA from 1 species